GGACUUAUCAGGCAAGGGAGACCAUAAUUGAGAAGGUGACUCACCCAAUUUGAGGUUCGGCCAUUGCACUGUGGCUAUGUGGAACCCAGUUCUUUCCCCAAACGUGGGAAUCUUGAUCACAUGAUUUUUGGUGGUGGGGGAUUCCAUUCAGCCUCAC